CGAUGAAGCCUUUCGGGGUGGAUUAGUGGCGAACGGGUGAGUAACACGUGGGCAAUCUGCCCUUCACUCUGGGACAAGCCCUGGAAACGGGGUCUAAUACCGGAUAACACUCUGUCCUGCAUGGGACGGGGUUAAAAGCUCCGGCGGUGAAGGAUGAGCCCGCGGCCUAUCAGCUUGUUGGUGGGGUAAUGGCCUACCAAGGCGACGACGGGUAGCCGGCCUGAGAGGGCGACCGGCCACACUGGGACUGAGACACGGCCCAGACUCCUACGGGAGGCAGCAGUGGGGAAUAUUGCACAAUGGGCGAAAGCCUGAUGCAGCGACGCCGCGUGAGGGAUGACGGCCUUCGGGUUGUAAACCUCUUUCAGCAGGGAAGAAGCGAAAGUGACGGUACCUGCAGAAGAAGCGCCGGCUAACUACGUGCCAGCAGCCGCGGUAAUACGUAGGGCGCAAGCGUUGUCCGGAAUUAUUGGGCGUAAAGAGCUCGUAGGCGGCUUGUCACGUCGGAUGUGAAAGCCCGGGGCUUAACCCCGGGUCUGCAUUCGAUACGGGCUAGCUAGAGUGUGGUAGGGGAGAUCGGAAUUCCUGGUGUAGCGGUGAAAUGCGCAGAUAUCAGGAGGAACACCGGUGGCGAAGGCGGAUCUCUGGGCCAUUACUGACGCUGAGGAGCGAAAGCGUGGGGAGCGAACAGGAUUAGAUACCCUGGUAGUCCACGCCGUAAACGUUGGGAACUAGGUGUUGGCGACAUUCCACGUCGUCGGUGCCGCAGCUAACGCAUUAAGUUCCCCGCCUGGGGGAGUACGGCCGCAAGGCUAAAACUCAAA
rnacentral:rRNA from 1 species